rnacentral:rRNA from 1 species
CCUACGGGUGGCUGCAGUGGGGAAUAUUGGACAAUGGGCGCAAGCCUGAUCCAGCAAUGCCGCGUGUGUGAAGAAGGCCUGCGGGUUGUAAAGCACUUUAAGCAGGAAAGAAGGGGUGAAAGUUAAUACCUUUCAUCAUUGACGUUACCUGCAGAAUAAGCACCGGCUAACUCCGUGCCAGCAGCCGCGGUAAUACGGAGGGUGCGAGCGUAAAUCGCGCUUAGUGGGCGUAAACAGUCCGUAGGCGGUUCCCUGGGCUUAACCUGGGAACUGCGGUGGAUACUGUCGGGCUAGAGUGUGGUAGAGGGGAGUGGAAUUUCCGGUGUAGCAGUGAAAUGCGUAGAGAUCGGAAGGAACACCAGUGGCGAAGGCGGCUCCCUGGACUAACACUGACGCUGAGGUGCGAAAGCGUGGGGAGCAAACAGGAUUAGAUACCCGAGUAGUC